CCAAACAAAAGAAACUUGAAAAAAUUUGUGCCUUGCUCUUCUGGCUGCUGCUGCCUGAAGGCCACAUCUUUAAAUGAUAUCUUGAAGCUUGACAUCUACAGAUUUGAAGAGCACAUUUUAAGCAUGAAGAGUACACCUGUACUUUUUGUGUAUUUUGCUAGAGUCUGCCACAUUUAUGCUCAUUCGAUAGGGGCAAGUCAAAAAACCCCCAGUUACUGCUUGAAGCCGAAAGCUCCAGGGAACACAUGUGGGAGAGGUCCAUUUACUUCAUGGUAUUUUGAUUCUGAGAGCCGUAAAUGCAAGGCUUUCACCUUCGGCGGAUGCAACGGCAACCUAAACAGGUUUUCUUCGGAAGGACAGUGCCAACGCUGGUGCUUACGUGGUGUUCCAGAGAAACCAGUCUGUAGCUUGGCUGUCGAAAAAGGAAAAGGGAUUGGGGGCAUUUUCGCAUGGUCAUAUAAUGCUACACAGGACCAAUGUCAAGUGUUCCUGUACAGCGGGUUUGGUGGAAACUCGAACAAAUUCAGAAGUUGUUAUCAGUGCAUGAACAGAUGUAGUGG
rnacentral:lncRNA from 1 species